rnacentral:rRNA from 1 species
UACGUAGGGUGCGAGCGUUAAUCGGAAUCACUGGGCGUAAAGCGUGCGCAGGCGGUUUUGUAAGACAGGCGUGAAAUCCCCGGGCUUAACCUGGGAACUGCGGUUGUGACUGCAAGGCUAGAGUACGGCAGAGGGGGGUGGAAUUCCACGUGUAGCAGUGAAAUGCGUAGAGAUGUGGAGGAACACCAAUGGCGAAGGCAGCCCCCUGGGUCGAUACUGACGCUCAUGCACGAAAGCGUGGGUAGCAAACAGG